rnacentral:lncRNA from 1 species
AAACGGUAAGUUCACCCACGAUAACUUCACUCAACGACAUGUUCUCUCACGAUAAAUUCACCCACGAUAAGUUCACCCGUGAUAAGUUCACCCACGAUAAGUUUACCCAUGAUAAGUUCACUCAACGAUAAGUUCACUCAUUAUAACUUCACCAACGAUAAGUUCUCCCACGAUAAGCUCACCCAAGAUAAGUUCACCCAAGAUAAAUUCACCCACGAUAAGUUCACCCACGAUAAGCUCACGCAGUAUAAGUUAACCCAACGAUAAGUUCACUCACAAUAAGUUCACCCAACAAUAAUUUCA